rnacentral:rRNA from 1 species
UACGGGAAGGGCAAGCGUUAUUCGGAAUUACUGGGCGUAAAGGGCGCGUAGGCGGUGGGUUACGUCUGCCGUGAAAUCCCCGGGCUCAACCUGGGAAUGGCGGUGGAAACGGGCUGACUGGAGUAUGGGAGAGGGUGAUGGAAUUCCAGGUGUAGCGGUGAAAUGCGUAGAGAUCUGGAGGAACACCAGUGGCGAAGGCGGUCACCUGGCCCAAUACUGACGCUGAGGCGCGAAAGCGUGGGGAGCAAACAGG